AAUCCAUGCAUAGGACACGUCCGUAGUAAUUUUUUAAAUCUUUCAUAUGCUUCAUACAAGCUUUCAACUUCAUACUGCUUAAAUGAAGUUACAUCAUUUCGAAGAUU